UACCGCAUAACGUCGCAAGACCAAAGAGGGGGACCUUCGGGCCUCUUGCCAUCAGAUGUGCCCAGAUGGGAUUAGCUUGUUGGUGAGGUAACGGCUCACCAAGGCGACGAUCCCUAGCUGGUCUGAGAGGAUGACCAGCCACACUGGAACUGAGACACGGUCCAGACUCCUACGGGAGGCAGCAGUGGGGAAUAUUGCACAAUGGGCGCAAGCCUGAUGCAGCCAUGCCGCGUGUAUGAAGAAGGCCUUCGGGUUGUAAAGUACUUUCAGCGGGGAGGAAGGUGUUGUGGUUAAUAACCGCAGCAAUUGACGUUACCCGCAGAAGAAGCACCGGCUAACUCCGUGCCAGCAGCCGCGGUAAUACGGAGGGUGCAAGCGUUAAUCGGAAUUACUGGGCGUAAAGCGCACGCAGGCGGUCUGUCAAGUCGGAUGUGAAAUCCCCGGGCUCAACCUGGGAACUGCAUUCGAAACUGGCAGGCUUGAGUCUUGUAGAGGGGGGUAGAAUUCCAGGUGUAGCGGUGAAAUGCGUAGAGAUCUGGAGGAAUACCGGUGGCGAAGGCGGCCCCCUGGACAAAGACUGACGCUCAGGUGCGAAAGCGUGGGGAGCAAACAGGAUUAGAUACCCUGGUAGUCCACGCCGUAAACGAUGUCUACUUGGAGGUUGUGCCCUUGAGGCGUGGCUUCCGGAGCUAACGCGUUAAGUAGACCGCCUGGGGAGUACGGCCGCAAGGUUAAAACUCAAAUGAAUUGACGGGGGCCCGCACAAGCGGUGGAGCAUGUGGUUUAAUUCGAUGCAACGCGAAGAACCUUACCUGGUCUUGACAUCCACGGAAGUUUUCAGAGAUGAGAAUGUGCCUUCGGGAACCGUGAGACAGGUGCUGCAUGGCUGUCGUCAGCUCGUGUUGUGAAAUGUUGGGUUAAGUCCCGCAACGAGCGCAACCC
rnacentral:rRNA from 1 species